rnacentral:rRNA from 1 species
CCUACGGGUGGCAGCAGUGAGGAAUAUUGGUCAAUGGGCGAGAGCCUGAACCAGCCAAGUCGCGUGAAGGAUGACGGCCCUACGGGUUGUAAACUUCUUUUGUCAGGGAGCAAUUGGAUCCACGCGUGGGCUUAGCUAGAGUCCUUGAAGAUAAAGCAUCGGCUAACUCCGGGCCAGCAGCCGCGGUAAUCGGGAGGUUGCGAGCGUUGUCCGGUUUUAUUGGGUUAAAAGGGUGCGUAGGGGGAAUGUAAGUUCCGGGGUAAAGAUUCGGGGUCAAACCCCGUCGUGCCGUUGAAACUGGUGUUCUUGAGUGGGCGAGAGGUAGGCGGAAUGCGUGGUGUAGCGGUGAAAUGCAUAGAUAUCACGCAGAACUCCGAUUGCGAAGGCAGCAUACCGGCCCCCAACUGACGCUGAAGCACGAAAGCGUGGGUAUCGAACAGGAUUAGAUACCCCUGUAGUC